rnacentral:tRNA from 1 species
UCUAAUAUGGCAGAAUAAGUGCCUUGGAUUUAAACCCCAAUAAUAAAGUUUAGUCUUUUUUUAGAA